GCAGGGACAGCAGGAGCAGUGGUGCUGUCAGCGCGGCCGUCGGAGACAUGGGAGACCCGGGGUCGGAGAUAAUAGAAUCUGUCCCUCCAGCUGGCCCUGAGGCAUCUGAGUCAACAACGGAUGAAAAUGAAGACGACAUUCAGUUUGUCAGUGAAGGACCAUUACGACCUGUUCUUGAAUACAUUGAUCUGGUCAGCAGUGAUGAUGAAGAGCCUAGCACCUCUUAUACUGAUGUGCCCUAUACAACAGGAUUCUUUUGUUCCAGAACCACAUGACCACAGAAAAUUUGUUUUCUCUUAGAAAAAAGGAUAUGUAGAGAUCCUUUUAGGAAUGGAAAGUGGGGGAAGGGUUUAUAGGGGAUAUAUUACUUCAGUC
rnacentral:lncRNA from 1 species